rnacentral:snRNA from 1 species
GUCACUUCAGUAGCACAUAUACUAGAAUUGGAACGAUGCAGAGAUUAGCGUGGCCCCCGUGCAAGGAUGACACACAAAUUUGUGAAGCAUUCCAUGUUUUU